UCUUUUCUCCUCUCCUCAUCUCUCUAUUCCGUUUACCUUUUCCCUGCCAUCAACCCUCCCUUCCUUUUUCUCUCGCUCACAGCCACCGCAAAACCCCUCAAGCCCUCAUAUCCUCAAACCAACAAAUUUAAUUCCACAAUCUCUCACACUUAAUUUAAACCCUCGAACCAAAAACUCGAUUUCAAGUAUCAAGCAGCCAGGUUUUUGGGUGUUGGAAUUUCGGCGAAUUGUUUCUUGCCAUUAUUACCAAUCUUCAUGGCUUUGUCUCUCAGGUUCGAUGCUCAAAUUUAAGGUUUUUUGUUGGAGAAGUGGUGGACCUUUUAAUUGUGCCUACUGUGUUGGUGGUCGUUGCUAGACCGGCAAGAAAAAGUCUACUGUGCAUAACACCAUGCCUGCAUUUUUGCAGCAAGGACCAAAUCAAGUAGAACUGUUUGGGAACUGCUAAUAUACUGAUUUUGUGGAAUUUUUGUUCUUUGCAAGGUUUUUUUGGCUGAUAUAAUACUUUUGCCAUCACUCUCCAGCUACGUAAAAUCUACUUAACUAAUGGAAAGGACCUAGCGUUUGGCUGUGGUAAAGUUUUGGUUGGUAAGUUCCUAUUAUGACUCAUGUGAAUCUGUUGCAGAGUGGUUUUAGUGUGUGAAUUUCAU
rnacentral:sRNA from 1 species